rnacentral:tRNA from 2 species
GUCGAAAUGGCUGAGUUAAAGCGGUAAAUUGUAAAUUUACUUACGAGAUUUCCUCUUUCGACA